UUUCAGCAAUUUGGCCCUGGCAACCGUGCCUCAGGGCCGGCGCUGGUGGAGACUUGUCUCGUGUUGGGCCACACAUUUGUGGUGUGACAUCAUUUACCUGAUUUACUCUAGUGGCCUCGACGAGGUCAGGAAGACGGCGGUUUGUCGAAGCCCAAGUAGCUGGAUGGUAGAACAACGGUCUGGCCUCUAUCCUCUCACCUUCGUCACGACUAAAAUCCAUCACCAACAAGUAAAGAAUUUACAACAUUUAUGUAUGUUUUGGUGUCCCAGACAAUGUUAGACGUCCAGACAGUCAACUACUCCUAUCCUCCCCCCUCCCAUCAACUUCUUCAAGACCCAGACGUACCGGCACUCAUAAUGUAACCAGCAACUAGUUUAAGGAAGUGUUGGCACAGGAUGUUAUGUCACCAGGAGGGGUAUAUAUAGCACCUGAUUGGCUCGCUUAAGUCAGUCUCUGCAGGUGGUCUCAACAGAGGUGUUUCAACAUUGCUUGCUGCCCAUGAUCCACGGAACCCAUUUCGUGCCCAGUUUGUGGUGUUUGGAAUAUUAAUUCGAAUCUGACCCAGGAAGCAAGUGCAUGAGCAAUGGGUCUAUUUCUUUUUUGAAGGCUGUGGGAAUUUUCGUAAUAUAUGACAUCUGCCUUUCUGCGCAGGCUGAGCAGUUAGGCACAUAAAGGAAACAACCAUACGUGGGAAAAACUGGGGUGGCUGGCCAGGCUCCCCAGGAUACAAGAAGAGACAUCUUGUGGUAAGUGGUGCUAAGUAGUGGACCCAGACAAUGAAUAUGUACAUACUCCACAACAGGGUUGCUGAUGCUGUCCAAGCAGUUCAUCGUUUGAUUGUACUAUCUUUCUGGUGGCCUUUCCUUCAGUACGUUAGGGAUCUUGAAUCCCCAGACUGCACGUUGCCUCUAUUCUACCAGAUUCUAAUCCAGGCCUCUGGUAGGUGCUCAUGAUUUAUUAUAGCUUUGAAUGGUAACCAAGAUUUGAAGUAUUCCAGGUGGGAAUACUAGGCCCUGGGAAACCCUACUAGAAUUCACACAAAAUUAAUU